UACGUAGGGUGCAAGCGUUAAUCGGAAUUACUGAGCGUAAAGCGUGCGCAGGCGGCUUUGCAAGACAGAUGUGAAAUCCCCGGGCUUAACCUGGGAACUGCAUUUGUGACUGCAUGGCUAGAGUGCGGCAGAGGGGGAUGGAAUUCCGCGUGUAGCAGUGAAAUGCGUAGAUAUGCGGAGGAACACCGAUGGCGAAGGCAAUCCCCUGGGCCUGCACUGACGCUCAUGCACGAAAGCGUGGGGAGCAAACAGG
rnacentral:rRNA from 1 species